GCGGAAACGUUUUGACCGGUAGAGCGAACGACUAGAGGUACCGGGGCCGUAACGGCCUCGACCUAUUCUCGAACUCCGAACGGGCAAGGAGCCGGGGUCGCCCGAUCGGACCCCGGACGUGAAGUCGACGAUGGUCGGUGGGCUGGUUUUGGUAAGCAGAACGGGCGAUUCGGGAUGAACCGGAAGCGGGGAGAAAGGGCCCGAGAUUGCGUCACGCGGAUCCCGAAAAGGGCGUCGAUCCGUCGCGACAGCGGGACGGUGGUCAUGGAAGUCGAAAUCCGCUAAGAAGCGUGUAAAAACGUACCCGCCCAACGGAUCGGCCCCGAAAAUUGAUGGCGCUCGAACGCAACCCUCGAACCCCGCCGACGGAGGCUAGGGGAGGCCCCGUCGAGUAGGCGGACGCGCGGGUCGCUUCGACGCUCCCGCGCGAGCGGGGGCGGAGCGGCCCGUGGUGCAGAUCUUGGUGGUAGUAGCGAUCACCCAGGCGAGAACCCUGAGGGCCGAAGUGGAGAAGGGGUUUCUCGAGAACGG
rnacentral:rRNA from 1 species